rnacentral:rRNA from 1 species
AUUGAACGCUGGCGGCAUGCCUUACACAUGCAAGUCGAACGGUAACAGGUCUUCGGAUGCUGACGAGUGGCGAACGGGUGAGUAAUACAUCGGAACGUGCCUAGUAGUGGGGGAUAACUACUCGAAAGAGUGGCUAAUACCGCAUGAGAUCUACGGAUGAAAGCAGGGGAUCGCAAGACCUUGUGCUACUAGAGCGGCCGAUGGCAGAGUAGGUAGUUGGUGGGAUAAAAGCUUACCAAGCCGACGAUCUGUAGCUGGGCUGAGAGGACGAUCAGCCACACUGGGACUGAGACACGGCCCAGACUCCUACGGGAGGCAGCAGUGGGGAAUUUUGGACAAUGGGCGAAAGCCUGAUCCAGCAAUGCCGCGUGCAGGAUGAAGGCCUUCGGGUUGUAAACUGCUUUUGUACGGAACGAAAAGCCCCGGGUUAAUACCCUGGGGUCAUGACGGUACCGUAAGAAUAAGCACCGGCUAACUACGUGCCAGCCGCCGCGGUAA